rnacentral:lncRNA from 1 species
ACUUUUAAUAAUAACCGAUUUUAUUCUGUCAGAAUGACAAAAAGUCAACAAUAAACUAAUAAAUAUAUUUGCGGUUUUAUUCUUACAUAAUAUUGUUUCAUUCAAGAUAUUUUUUAUAUUAAACAUGCUUAAAGAAUUAUACAAUAUAUUAUCAAGAAUAACAUUUUCUAAAGAGUAUGGAUUUUAUUCUUUAAGAGUCACUAUUUUCAUUCAUCCAUAAACAAAAAGAAUAUAAACAAUUAUUACAAUCAUUCUAAAAAAAUUAUGACUAAUAAUGGUUUAAGGAUUACAUUUAUUCUUAAAGAUUAAAACUAAAAGUGGUUAAAAAACGAAAAAACAUCAAAAUCUAACAAAAACACUACUCUAUUUCGAAAGAAUAUUAUCAUCCUCCAUAUUUUCUUCAUUUUCCACAUUAAUGGCAACCUCUUCAAAACCUAAAUUCACAAGGAAAACAUAAUCAACUUUCAAAUAUUAAAAAUUUUAGUGCAUUAAAUAGAAUAAAACAAUAAAUUCUAAUAGAAUGUGAUAUAUAUUCAAAUAGAAUAUAACUAUAAUUUCUACAAACCAAUAUUAACAAUCAUCUCUAAACUUGCAAUGUAUAUUAUUCUGAAAGAAUGUAAUGUUUCAUUAUAUAGAAUGUUAUUCCAUAAGAAUCAAGACCAAUAACAAGAUUAUAAACCAAUUUUAUUCUAACAUAAUUGGUUAGGGCAAUUCAUUGCUUAAGUUGACAAGGAAUUCAAGAUUCUAUUCUAACAAAACUAGAAUUCGAUAUUCCAUUCUAGCAGAAUGAUCGACAUCAAGAUGCAUUAAAAAAAACCUAGAUUUCAACUAUGCAUUUUAUCGAACACUUGGUGUGCUUCUUCAGUUUCUUCAAAAAAAAUUAGUGAGAGUCUUACCAAUUCAGUUUCUUGGUGGUCGAGAACUGGAGAUACAACUAAAAAAACAUGUUAUGAUUAGUACAAGAGCAUACCAAUUCAGUUUCUUGGUGGUGUCGUUGACGACCUAAAAUCCCCUGCUGCCUUCGUUUUCACCUCCUUUUGCAGACUCCACAACAGGCACCGAGCACCUCUUCACCGCCAUCUGCUGCUGUUGCUUUUCCUUUGAUUUCUUGUCGUCGACAACGAGAAGAAGCAACCCCAAUCAACAAAUUAGGGCAUAAAUCUUCAGAAUCCG